GCACACUUGAGCAGGCCUUUUGUCUGCUUAGAAGACAUUCCAACUGCCCAUAAGCAGUUGGCCUUCGCACAAAGGAGGGUGUCCAUGGAGGAGGGCAGUCUGUCUGUGCAGCAUAUUGUUGAGUGAUUGUGAAUCUGCAAGCCUGCAGUUUGAUUCAAGGAGAUUCAAAACCCGUGUCACUGCUGCCAUCUUCCUAGAAUCCCUUUAAAUCCUCAUGGAUUUGCUGACAUUGGGAGCAUCCUGAAAGAGUCCCCAUGCUAGGGUGGCUGCAGUAACAGGUACAAUGAGAAAUGAUGGUUCUCCCCACUCCAGAAAAAAUCAAAUCAGAUUGUGAAUUUAUUCCCUGACAUUAACACACGGCAUUACAGGAGCAUGUACAUCACAUGGUCAAUUUAUUGGCAUGAGGAUUAUGUCAUCGGGGAAUAAAUGGGAAAUUCUCAAGGUGGCCCAGGCCUGUAGGCUUCCAGUGAGAAAACUGGAGACCACACUCACCCGUCCCACUGCCGUUUCUUUGGGGCUGCCUGUGAUACUGGGUUAUUCCCCUUGCCGAGUUCCACUGUGCUUACCCUGUUGGAAUAUGAUGGUGGACUUGCCAGAGGAGAUGACCAUGAUUUUCAGGAACAGCAGCCCCUCCUUCCUGGUUGAGGCAGCCAGCAGGCACUCCUAUCCAUGAGCCACAGCUCAGCUAAGGCAAUCCAGUCCAGCUGCAUGCCCUCUCUCUGCUUCUGGGGAGGUAGGAAGGACCAGGGGCAUUCAUGCUUGUUUCUAGGGGGCCCUAACUGGAUCUCUGGAUCAAGACCUACUCAGGGGAGAAAGACUACUCUGGGUUCCAUGUUAGGACUGACGGGUGCAUCUUAACUGAGAUGCAGACAGUGGACAAUUCGAACUCUGACCUGAGAGCAAGCCCCAGCCUUGGUGCUCAUAAAUGCUCCGCUUGGUCCUUCACAUUUGUGUUCCACACAGGAGAAGCCAAGUUGUGAGCAGUGCACCUUCACAAGCAAAGCCUCGACUGAAAUCUUCUCUAACAAUUGGCUGGUCACUCCUGAGCGUAAUCUACCCCUUCAGAACACUGGGGAUGAAUUUAGAGACAUCGAAGCCUCCUGAUGAGAAAUACGUGUCCACUCACCGGGAGAACUGAAAUACCAGGAGAUUUCUACACAAAUCUCACAGAGUCCUUCUGGCGUCCUAGGGGUUUGCUCACAUAUAAGGGACUUUCUGGUAGGAAGAGAGUCUCUUUACAUUCUUUAUUAUAUGAUCCUGGUGGCUUUGUAGAGAGAUGGUACAGCUGACAGAUCAUGUCCUGUGGGGCCAGGGAGUUGUGUGUGUGUGAAUGCUCUGUGAACUUGGGCAAACUACUUAGCCUCUCUGAGCCUUAGCUGCAUCAGCUUUGAAAAACAGGAUGAUAAAAUGGAGUCACCUUAUUUGACUUUUAUAAAUACACUUACACAAUUACACAAGUUGUGGGGAUGGGAAGAGAGAGUUGGGGAAAGAGAAAUGAGAGAGAGAGAGAGAGAGAAUGAAUGAUAAACAAUUUAAACAACAGUGGGGUGUAGACCAACGCCCAGCCUGGCAAGGGUGAGCCCAGAGAGCCUUCCCUCCUGGCUAUUGGCAGCCUCCGCAUGGAAGCCUGUCGUUGACUUCUUAAUGAUGAGAGAUGUUCUGGGGGCACUCCAGGAUUCUUGGACAUGGGAUCGUCUUCACAGCUGUGUCUAUUGAAAGCUGAAGUUUCAGUCUCCCCUGCCCCCUGCCCCCUGGAGUGGCUUCCCAGGGGAAAUUCAAGGGCACCUGUGACUGCAUGGCUGCUUUCCUUUCCUUUACUCAAUGCCGUCCUUUGGUGACAGCCGUGUCUCAUGCCAGGAUACAUGAGGUGCUCUAUAGUAGUAUGUUUUCCCUCCUGGGAGGUAAUUUUAUUUAAAUGUGAAGUCAAAAGGAUCACUAAAUAGAACCAUGAGGCAACCACUCUGGGCACCUGCCUGGUGAUAUCCACAAGAGCUGACCACAGGUGCCCCCUGUGCCCAGCAAGUCCUUGGCUGGGCAGUCACACAACAGGCAUGGGGAUGUGUGGCCACCAAGCCCUCCAGGGCAGUGCUAUUUGUAAUAGUCCCAAAUGGGAGAGAUGGCAAACGCCCGCCAAUGGGGCAGCAUGGAUAAAUGGAUGCUGCACAGCAACGGCGAUGAGUGAGCCCCAGCACCCGUGAGCUCACCAGUGUAAUAUUGGGUGGAAGAAGCCAGGAGGAAGGGCAUUCACAUUCUGUGAUUCCAGCUACACUAUGUUUAAAUAUGGGCAGAGCUAGGCUGUGGUGCUGGAAGCCAGGACAGUGGGAUCCUUGCAUGGGGGUGAUGGUGCUGGUAGGUUCUGGUAAUUUCCUCUUCUUGAUCUGGGUGUAAACAUUUUGUGAAAAUUCAAUGAGCUGUACAUUUAUGACUGGUACAUUUAUGACUUUGUAUGAAUAUUAUACUUUCAUAAAACUACUUUAAAAUAUGAUUGUGAACCUUUUUUCACCUAUUUUCUGCCAAUUAGCACCGAAUUGCUCACUAACUAAUGAGUGGUGCUGGUUUUGACUUGCUUGCUACACUGUCUUGAGACAGAUAGGGUUUUCUGUGCUUUGUAUGACCCCCUCUGGAACCAGGGUGGGACUGGGAACACUCGGAAAACAUGUGCUGACAGAUGCUGGGCAUCCCCGUGUUGGUGGAGGCAUGCUCAUUCCUCAGCAAAAUACCCAUAUGGGGUGUUGGCAGGAAAGAGGACAGAAAAGGACAAAGUAUUUGUCUCUGCUAGCGUUCCUGGAGCUGUCUCACCUUGGCCAAGCCCCCGCCCAGUCCUCUCCUAACGUGGACAGACUAGGGGGCAGAAACUAGUCAGCCAAAGAAUUUCCAAGCUAGGGGUUGAUGAAUGCUUGGAUAAUUUGCCCAUGAACACGUUGGAUUCUUCUUCACUUGCCAUCACGGGGGGAUAAGUACCCCAGUUUUUUUUUGGAGAGAAUUGAGGGACUGUGCCAUUGCAGUGUGGAUUUCAAGAGAUUUUAAACGGAAGGCAGAGUAACAGUGUGGUUUGGGAAGCUCUAAAGACAGUUGUCCUGGUGCGGUUUCUUCCAUAAAAGAGUGGGGACGCCAUGGACCUGCUCACCAAAUUCCAGUCCCGACACAGUUCUGUGAGGCACUCUCCACAUCAGGGCAGACGGGCAGGAGGAGUUUACACAGCGAUCUGGGGGCCAUUAGAGCACUGAGGGAUCCAUUGCUGUCUCUUGUUUCUGUUUCCCACACUGUGCUGGGUGCUGGGAACAUGACGAUGAACUUGAAGGAAAUAAUGUGUACGGUGGUUCAUUUCCAAGACAUAGUGCCUUGAAUCAGUUUAGGUCAGCAAACUACAGAAGAAACAGGAUAUACUAGGCCCCUGCUUGGAGAGCUGAUGCCUGUUUGUUGCCCCUCACCCCCUUAGUUGCCCUUACCAGAACCAAAGGAGUUUAGUCUAAGAUGAAAGUUUACUAGCCUGCAAAAUAGCUCACUUUGUCUGUUCUUAUCAGCCUGCCCAGCUACUUAGGUCAUAAGUGAAAUACUUGAAGAGCCCCUGAGCUAACUAGGAUUGCAAUGCAUUGUGGCUGCAACAAGAUGCAGCAAGACAACUGUAAAGAAAAUGCCUAAAACCCCUACCCACCAACCCAUAGGCGAUGUCCAGGAAGACUGUGACCUCCAUAGUACUCAGCAUUUGAGGAACUGGGGGAGGGACCUGUGCACUAGGGGAUAAAUUGCUUGUUGAAACUGUGCUGGGUGUGCCUGUCCAUCAGAUACCCUAUCUUGCAAGACUGUCG
rnacentral:lncRNA from 10 species